UACGAAGGGGGCUAGCGUUGCUCGGAAUCACUGGGCGUGAAGGGUGCGUAGGCGGGUCUUUAAGUCAGGGGUGAAAUCCUGGAGCUCAACUCCAGAACUGCCUUUGAUACUGAAGAUCUUGAGUUCGGGAGAGGUGAGUGGAACUGCGAGUGUAGAGGUGAAAUUCGUAGAUAUUCGCAAGAACACCAGUGGCGAAGGCGGCUCACUGGCCCGGUACUGACGCUGAGGUGCGAAAGCGUGGGGAGCAAACAGG
rnacentral:rRNA from 1 species